rnacentral:rRNA from 1 species
GGUUAAAAAGCUCGUAGUUGGACUUCUGUCGGUCAGCGGCGGUCUGCCCAUGUGGUCGGUACUUACCGUGUCGCCGGCAUUUGCCUGGGGAAUAUGUCUGCACUUCAUUGUGUGGUGUACGAUCCAGGCCAUUUACUUUGAGGAAAUUACAGUGCUUCAAGCAGGCUCACGCUCUCUGAAUACGUUAGCAUGGAAUAAUAGCAUCGGACCUUCAUCCACAGCUGUUGGUGUCUCGGAUUUAGGUAAAGGUGAAUAGGGAUUGUUGGGGGCAUUCGUAUUUAACUGUCAGAGGUGAAAUUCUUGGAUUUGUUGAAGACGGACUACUGCGAAAGCAUCUGCCAAAGAUGUUCUCAUUGAUCAAGAACGAAAGUUAGGGGAUCGAAGACGAUCAGAUACCGUCCUAGUCUUAACCAUAAACCAUGCCGACUAGAGAUUGGAGGUCGUUAACUAUACGACUCCUUCAGCACCUUAUGAGAAAUCAAAGUCUUUGGGUUCCGGGGGGAGUAUGGUCGCAAGGCUGAAACUUAAAGGAAUUGACGGAAGGGCACCACCAGGAGUGGAGCCUGCGGCUUAAUUUGACUCAACACGGGGAAACUUACCAGGUCCAGACAUAGUAAGGAUUGACAGACUGAUAGCUCUUUCGAGAUUCUAUGGGUGGUGGUGCAUG